rnacentral:sRNA from 1 species
AGCAGAAGUAUGGCACUCCUAAACCGCAGGGCAUCGGAAUUAUGCAGCCGGCAUUUGCAGGGACAUGGCCCGGUAAAUGGGACUUUGUUUCCAGAAUGGCUCCGCACCCCCAGCUCAGCGUUCCCCCCCGCACCCCAAAACCUGUUGAUAUCUCCUUCCGCGGCGCAUAAUUUCCCGAUGGAAUGACAUGACAAUAUAUGCAUGGUUUUUACAUGCACGAGUGAACGGAAUCACCCAACAGCCAUGCCGUAGUCGACACGACGGGGAGGUUGCGCGUGGAACAUUGGAGGAAUGAUCCUUAUCUAUAUCAUACGGCAC